rnacentral:rRNA from 1 species
UACAGAGGGGGCAAGCGUUGUUCGGAAUUACUGGGCGUAAAGGGCGCGUAGGCGGCCUGCUAAGUCGAACGUGAAAUCCCUGGGCUCAACCCAGGAACUGCGUCCGAUACUGGUUGGCUUGAAUCCGGGAGAGGGACGUGGAAUUCCAGGUGUAGCGGUGAAAUGCGUAGAGAUCGGGAAGAACAUCAGUGGCGAAGGCGGCCUGCUGGGCUGUUGCUGACGCUGAGGC